rnacentral:tRNA from 1 species
UGGCUCAGUCAGUAAAGAAUCUGCCUGCAAUGCAGAAGACCCGGGUUUGAUUCCCGG